CCUAUUACAGACCCGAUGUUGUCUUUAGUGUUUUGCUGUCAGAUGCUCCUUCGUGUUCAGAUCAGGCCUCAGUAUAAUAAUGUAGCAUUUGGGAAUGAAGAUGCAGCCCAGAAGCCCAGCACUGGAGGCCAAGAUGGAGAAGACCUGCACGGCUACCAUGUAUUUCCCCUUGGUGCUCAGGUAGGUGGGCACAAAGGACACCCAAACACUGCAGAAGACCAGCAUGCUGAAGGUGAUCAGCUUGGCUUCAUUGAAGUUUCCAGGCAGCUUCCUG